AGCUUUGCGCAGUGGCAGUAUCGUAGCCAAUGAGGUUUAUCCGAGGCGCGAUUAUUGCUAAUUAAAAUGCAGGUUCAGCUUCAGUGGUUCUGGGUGGGGCUUGUGUUUCUGACGACUCCAUACCAAGCUCGUAAGUGGGGCCACUAUCAAUGGUCCAUGGGGACACUCUUGAAUAGCCAUGGAAGAAUUCAGAUGAUCUGGC
ensembl:snRNA U4 U4 spliceosomal RNA